ensembl:snoRNA Gm54781 small nucleolar RNA SNORA32
UGGUCAUUACCAAGGUUUAAGAAUGCUUUCUCAAUCAUUGUGGGCAUCAUCAUGAAAAAAUUACCACUAGGCUUCCGUCAAGUACCUCUCUAGUGAUCAGCCUAUUGGGAACACUU